GUGGAGAAUCUUUCAAUUGCAAAGGUGUGCCAUCACUUUUGCAUUAUUUGAUGAUGGUUUAUGCUUAUUGAAUAAAACCAAGGAAUAAGUGAAAUUGCUGUUGCUUCCAGGGAGUAUAUGCUAAUAAAAUUAUUUUUCAAACAUCUUUUGCUCUGUAUUAUUAUUUUUGGUUGAUUUCUGAUGUUAAAUCUUUUUUAUUUUAUUUUAUUUU
rnacentral:misc_RNA from 1 species